UCCAAAAGACAAUGAUUUCAAUGACAAAGGACUAUGUAAACCAGACAAAUAAUUCAUCUCUUUCUUUUUUUAGUGUGAAGCACAUUCAUGAAGAGACCACUGCUUGGACCUGCAGCAAGAAUGGGUGCAGAAGGCUGUACAUGUAGUUUGGAGGAGGCUCAGUUGCUCAUCUACAAAAUGGAGAUACGAUGUCAUGCCCUCCACAGGAUCGCUGUGAACAUUAAACAGUACCCUGCUGUAGACGGCUUGCGACAGUGGCUGGCACAAAGAAAUGAGUCCUUAUGUGUAACUGUUCUGUGAUACUGAUGUCCAUCCCCUUGCUGGUUGGAAAUGGUGACAAUGGAACAACUAAAGAAGUCCGCAGGUGAGGACAACAGACCUGCCCUUUCAGCCUGGCCUCUCCGUGACUUGACUGAGCAGAGCCUGACUAAUGACCUGGGGCUGUUAAGUGACAAAGAAAUAAACUUCUGUACUGAUGACACGAGUUCACCUAUCAAACCCUUCAAAAAUUUUUGUCUACGUGAGCUGAGUGUAUACACCAAAUAAGUGUGACCUUUGACACAACCAAAGGAAAUUUCCUGAGUGAUGCUCUUCAGUUGUGUUGCUGGAUGGAUCUGUAUCCACUUUCAGCUCCCUUCAGGAUCUGAGGUGGGGCUACCACUGAAGGCUGUGGAACAUAGGGGACCUUCUUCAUACAUGAUUGUAAGAGAAAGAAGUCAUCUCUGUGAGUUCAUACCAGCCUGGCUCCUUCUUGACUGUAAGCCCAACCUCAGAAUGAACCAGAAAUGGGCACAAUUUUUCUAUUUUUGGUCUGGACCUCAUUUAUUUACUUCCUCAGCUUUGCUUUGGAAAAACUCCUUAAGAAAACCACACCAAUGUAUACUCUCUUACUGUGCCUGGGAACACACACUGCUUGACAUCACAUGGUAGUUUGACCACACAAAGGGCUAGGAGACUGCAGGAUCCUUUCAUGUAUACUUUUUGAUAAUAAAAUCUCUCCUUUUGUGAGCUAUCACCAGGCGCCAGGCUCUUUGCUGAACAAUUUGCAUGUUAUCUAAAUAAAUUCCUCAUAGCUCUAGGAAAUAGGUAUUGUUAUUAUUUCUAAUUCACUGAGAAAGAGAAAGUCUCAAAAAGAUUAAGAAAUCAUUUACCUGGAAUUGGACACCGGGUUAUCUGUUUCCGGGUCCCUUGCUCUUUUUCCCAGGUGCCUUUUGUAGGCUUAGCAUAAACCAGGUGUUUUUUGUUCACGUAUGUUUGCUUCUUUCCAAAGUGUGUGUGUGUGUGUGUGUGUGUGUGUGUGUGUGUGAACAUAAAUGUAGUGCUUAUUAAAUGUCAGAUUGUUCUAGACCCGUUGACAUGAAUUACUUCAUUUAACCCAUACAACAACCCUAUGAAGAAAUUAUCAUAAUUAUCCCAUCUUGAUUUGAAAAGAGAAGCUCUGUAAAAUGUUACCUGUAUUGUACCACUGCAAAUUAAUAUCUGUCUAGCACAUUGCAAUAAAUUAAAUCCAAGGACUUCUAAAGAACUCUUAAAUAAUAUUUUUAAAAUCAUCGCAAACAGAAUCAGUCUUAUGCUAAAAUUUGUAUUUGAU